rnacentral:rRNA from 1 species
CCUACGGGUGGGCUGCAGUGGGGAAUAUUGGACAAUGGGGGCAACCCUGAUCCAGCCAUGCCGCGUGUGUGAAGAAGGCCCUCGGGUUGUAAAGCACUUUCAGUGAGGAAGAACGCCUGGUGGUUAAUACCCAUCAGGAAAGACAUCACUCACAGAAGAAGCACCGGCUAACUCCGUGCCAGCAGCCGCGGUAAUACGGAGGGUGCGAGCGUUAAUCGGAAUUACUGGGCGUAAAGCGCGCGUAGGUGGCUUGAUAAGCCGGUUGUGAAAGCCCCGGGCUCAACCUGGGAACGGCAUCCGGAACUGUCAAGCUAGAGUGCAGGAGAGGAAGGUAGAAUUCCCGGUGUAGCGGUGAAAUGCGUAGAGAUCGGGAGGAAUACCAGUGGCGAAGGCGGCCUUCUGGACUGACACUGACACUGAGGUGCGAAAGCGUGGGUAGCAAACAGGAUUAGAUACCCCAGUAGUC